rnacentral:lncRNA from 1 species
ACGGACUCACGGUUUUCCCUAUAAAUUUGCGGACAGCGAAGCUUUAGCAUACAGUACCCAAGUUAGAUCACAUCUUGUCUUUUAGCAAAAGAGAGAAACAAAAUGGGAUCUCAUGUUAUUUGUAACCAACAAAAACCACACGUAGUUUGCGUGCCUUACCCGGCUCAAGGCCACAUCAAUCCGAUGCUGAAAAUGGCUAAACUCCUCCACAAUAGAGGCUUCCACGUCACCUUCGUCAACACCGUUUACAACCACAAACGCCUAAUCCGGUCCCGUGGGACUGACGCACUCGGUAGAGUUUCUUCCUUCCGGUUCGAGGCCAUACCUGACGGUCUACCUGAGACUGACGUAGACGCCACGCAGGACAUCCCUACCCUUUCCGAGUCCACCGAGAAGAACUGUCUCGCUCCGUUCAAGGAGCUUAUCGGGCGGAUUAACACCAGAGAGGAUGUUCCUCCGGUGAGCUGUAUCGUAGCAGAUGGUGCGAUGAGCUUUACUCUUGACGUUGCGGAGGAGUUAGGUGUCCCGGACGUUCUGUUUUGGACCCCUAGUGGUUGUGGCUUCAUGGCUUAUCUUCACUAUUAUCUCUUCAUCGAGAAGGGUUUAUGUCCUGUACAGGGUACAUUUUCUUGCAUUUAAUUAUUGAUUUUAUUAACGUUAUAAUAUUAAAUCUAACGCAAGAAUUAACCCUUACGAUACUACUAGCUCGAUGGGUUUAUCAUUUAAGAGGUCGUUGGGCAAUUAGGCUGCCAACGUCACUCAAUGCCACUUUGUUUGCUAUUAGGCCUAGAAAGUUACGUUGACCUACAAGAUAUGGAUGAAACUAUAACCCUUAUCCUAAUUUGGCCAACCUCACUCUCUAGAUCACUUUGUUUGUUUUUAUAUGUUGUUUGUACUAUAUAGUUUGUUUUUAUCUGUUGUUUGUAUUAUAACUAAAUAUUGUGAGAUUAAAUAAUAAUAAAAAGUGUGAUGGAUCUUGUAGAUGAGAGUUGCUUGACGAAGGAACACUUGGACACAGUUAUAGAUUGGAUACCAUCAAUGAAGAAUCUAAAAUUAAAAGACAUUCCUAGUUUCAUCCGUACCACUAAUCCCAACGACAUAAUGGUCAACUUCAUUGUCCGUGAGACUUGUCGAACCAAACGCGCCUCUGCUGUCAUUCUCAACACGUUCGAUGACCUGGAGCAUGACAUAAUCCGCUCUAUGCAAUCCAUUUUACCACCGGUUUAUCCAAUCGGACCGCUUCAUCUCUUAGUAAACAGGGAGAUUGAUGAAGACAGUGAGAUUGGAAGGCUGGGAUCAAAUCUAUGGAAAGAGGAGACUGAGUGUUUGAAUUGGCUUGAUACUAAGUCUCGAAACAGCGUUGUUUAUGUUAACUUUGGGAGCAUAACGAUAAUGACCGUGACACAGCUCUUGGAGUUUGCAUGGGGUUUGGCGGCAACGGGGAAGGAGUUUCUAUGGGUGAUGCGGCCGGAUUUAGUAGCCGGAGAGGAGGCAGUGAUCCCGACAGAGUUCUUAACGGAGACAGCGGAUCGAAGGAUGCUGGCGAGUUGGUGUCCUCAGGAGAAAGUUCUUUCUCAUCCGGCUAUCGGAGGGUUCUUGACGCAUUGCGGUUGGAACUCGACGUUAGAAAGUCUUUCUUGCGGAGUUCCGAUGGUAUGUUGGCCAUUUUUUGCAGAGCAGCAAACAAAUUGUAAGUUUUCUUGUGACGAAUGGGAGGUUGGGAUUGAGAUUGGCGGAGAUGUAAAGAGGGAAGAGGUCGAGGCAGUGGUUAGAGAGCUGAUGGAUGGAGAGAAGGGAAAGAAGAUGAGAGAAAAGGCGGGGGAGUGGCGGCGUUUAGCGCAGAAAGCGACUGAGCAGCCGUGUGGUUCUUCGGUGAUAAACUUUGAGACAAUUGUUAGCAAGGUUCUUAAAACUAUUUAAGAAAACAUAAGUAUAUCAUAAAACUAUGUAAGGUUAUUAAUAAGUAUAAUUGCUUUUCUUGUUUCAUCGUGUGUAAUACUAUCCUAAAAGGGAUUGAGAGAAAUAACAAAUUUUGGUUAAGGUUUUCUAAGAAGCAUUGUGGUAAACUAUUUUGUUGGUUUUCACUUUUCAGAAGAAAGUUCAAUCUAAGUCUUAAUAUUAAUUCAAAAGUUGUUAUUUUUGGUAAAAUAUUGUAAAAGUUUGGAAGAAGGAAGCUUAAGGUUUAGAGAGAUUGUACUUGAAACUGUGUAUCACUCUAAAGAGUAAGAAACAUUGUUUUCACGAAUUAUUGACUACGGGGCCACUAGUCUCUGUCUUUUAUUAUAUAUAGACAAACACUCGUGCCGACGGGUAGGGGAUAUCUUCGCACGUGUUAGGUUUAUGUCGAUAACCGCUACGUGCGAGAAUCAUGCUCUCGCCAUCUCAUCGUGGAGUCCUUUAAAGCCUAUCCAAGGUGUUCCAUACAUAUCCAUAUAUCUUUCUUCUCUGUUUUUUUAUUUUGGCACACAAGAAAAGAAAUGGCAUCUCAUGCCGUUUCUAGCGGACAAAAACCACACGUAGUUUGCGUACCUUUCCCAGCUCAAGGCCACAUCAAUCCGAUGCUGAAAGUGGCUAAACUC